ACUACUCCCUUCUUAGAGUU
rnacentral:tRNA from 1 species